rnacentral:misc_RNA from 1 species
GUUUGUCCCUGGAUUCUUUUGGCUUCUUCCUCUUCAUGAAAGAAAUUCUGGGUUUGAGGCAAAAGACACCAUUAAACUCAGUGCUACAGUUCAGGUGUAUUUCGUUCUUGAAAAGCCCGUGAAUGAGCUUCUCCCUCACAUCAAGAGAUUAGAGUUUGAUAUCAAUGGUGAAUUAGACAUUCCAAACUUGAAGGUUUCCAUUCUAUCCAUGCAUGGUAUAGGUGAG